CCUACGGGAGGCAGCAGUAGGGAAUAUUGCUCAAUGGGCGAAAGCCUGAAGCAGCAACGCCGCGUGGAGGAUGAAGGUCUUCGGAUUGUAAACUCCUUUUCUAAGAGAAGAUUAUGACGGUAUCUUAGGAAUAAGCACCGGCUAACUCCGUGCCAGCAGCCGCGGUAAU
rnacentral:rRNA from 1 species